rnacentral:piRNA from 1 species
UUGGAGCUGUCCUGGAUGUAAUAAAUGCCUU